rnacentral:rRNA from 1 species
ACUCAGGGCAAGAAGAUUUUAGGAUUGACAGAUUGAGAGUUCUUUCUUGAUUGGUCUAGUGGUGGUGCAUGGCCGUUCUUAGUUGGUGGAGUGAUUUGUCUGGUUAAUUCCGUUAACGAACGAGACCUUAACCUGCUAACUAGUACCCUGAUCCUCAAUCGGGGUUACUUCUUAGAGGGACUAUGUGAUGUAAUCACAUGGAAGUUUGAGGCAAUAACAGGUCUGUGAUGCCCUUAGAUGUCCUGAGCUGCACGCGCGCUACAAUGACACAUUCAACGAGUAUUUCCUGACCCGAAAGGGCUCGGGUAAUCUUUUUAGUGUGUGUCGUGAUAGGGAUAGAUCUUUGUAAUUAUGGAUCUUGAACGAGGAAUUCCUAGUAAGCGCACGUCAUCAGCGUGUGCUGAUUACGUCCCUGCAAAAUGUACACACCGCCCGUCGCUAUUACCGAUUGGGUGUAUAGGUGAACCUUCUCGAUAGUCGCAAGACUAGAAAUUAAGUAAACCUUUGCACCUAGAAGG